GACGCUCUCCCCAAGGACGAAGCCAUGCAUGCCCGCUCACCCGGGACGCGGCGGACGGCUCAGGACAACGGUUGCACCCCCCGCGGCGGUCCCUGCUAGCCGGACACCGCUGGCAACCCGGCGCCAAGACGUGCGCGCAAGGGGCGGGCGCCCGCGGGCGAGCAGCGUGACGCAG
rnacentral:rRNA from 1 species